UACUUUGGACAUAUACACACAGACAGAAACAAUAAAUAAUUAGUUGAUUAUAACGAAAACACCGCUUUCUGUUCUUUUUCGUUUGGGGUGUUUUUUUUUUUCUUUCUUUUUUCGUU
rnacentral:ribozyme from 1 species